AUUGAACGCUGGCGGCAGGCUUAACACAUGCAAGUCGAGCGGAUGAAGGUAGCUUGCUACCGGAUUCAGCGGCGGACGGGUGAGUAAUGCUUAGGAAUCUGCCUAUUAGUGGGGGACAACGUUCCGAAAGGAGCGCUAAUACCGCAUACGUCCUACGGGAGAAAGCAGGGGACCUUUGGGCCUUGCGCUAAUAGAUGAGCCUAAGUCGGAUUAGCUAGUUGGUAGGGUAAAGGCCUACCAAGGCGACGAUCUGUAGCGGGUCUGAGAGGAUGAUCCGCCACACUGGGACUGAGACACGGCCCAGACUCCUACGGGAGGCAGCAGUGGGGAAUAUUGGACAAUGGGGGGAACCCUGAUCCAGCCAUGCCGCGUGUGUGAAGAAGGCCUUUUGGUUGUAAAGCACUUUAAGCGAGGAGGAGGCUACCUAGAUUAAUACUUUAGGAUAGUGGACGUUACUCGCAGAAUAAGCACCGGCUAACUCUGUGCCAGCAGCCGCGGUAAUACAGAGGGUGCGAGCGUUAAUCGGAUUUACUGGGCGUAAAGCGUGCGUAGGCGGCCAAUUAAGUCAAAUGUGAAAUCCCCGAGCUUAACUUGGGAAUUGCAUUCGAUACUGGUUGGCUAGAGUAUGGGAGAGGAUGGUAGAAUUCCAGGUGUAGCGGUGAAAUGCGUAGAGAUCUGGAGGAAUACCGAUGGCGAAGGCAGCCAUCUGGCCUAAUACUGACGCUGAGGUACGAAAGCAUGGGGAGCAAACAGGAUUAGAUACCCUGGUAGUCC
rnacentral:rRNA from 1 species